GUCUUGAACUCCUGGCCUCAAGGGAUCUUCCCCCCUUGGCCUUCCAAAGUGCUGGGAUUACAGGCUGAGCCAUGGCCCCUGGCCCUGAUCCACUUUUCUAAUAUAUGGCUUUUUAAUUUGAAAAACUGAUUUCCUUAUACACUGUGAAACAGCAUUUCUAUAGCUCCCUGGACUAUGCUAGUUCCCUCACCCAAUGUCUCCACUUCUAAAGUCCUCAGUUACUGUGAAACUCAUUUAUCUUUCUGCAACAUUAAUUUUGAGAAAGUUGAAGUGAGCAAAACUUCCUGGAAUCUGAAAAGAAGAUCCAUUGUCCCCGUACCAGGCUCACAAUCAGCCAAAGGGGGAAGUAGAUUUUCCUGUCUGUACAAAAGAAGGAAAGCGUUCUUUGGAACACCUUUGCUGAGUCUCUCUCUCCUCCGCUCAAGGGAUUCCGCUGACACAUUGCAUUCUUGGGAGAACCUUCCAAUUCCAAUUAUGGACUAGCUGCUCCUACCCUGUGCUCUUCGCUUGAGGAAGAAGGCAUUUUCACACAAGGCUGGCCAGAUGGGAAGAAUCUUCAGCUUCAGCUUCAGCUUGGCCUCAUUCAUUUGAAAAUAAAAUGUUUACAUGAGGCCGCGCCUGUGUCCAGCUGAAAGUGGGUCCUUCAGAGCGUGUGGGGGAUUCUCUGCCGGCUUGAUGGGCUAGCUCCUCUAAGCCGGCUGCUGGAGACAUCACCGGCUGAGGGACUCCUGCAAACGUUCAUACAUGAUUUGAUCCUGAAAGGAGGGAGAACACAGAAUACAGAGACCGUCACUGCUUGUUUUGGGCUGAAUGGUGCCCCCCAAAAUUCACAUGCUGCAGUCCGCACCCGCAGGACCUCAGAAUGUGAUUGUAACUGGAGAGAGGGUCUUUAUAGAGGAGACUGGAUUAAAAUGAGGUCAUACAGGUAGACUCUUAUCCAAUAUGACUGCUCUCCUUACAAAAAGAGGGGAUUAGGGCACAGGAGGGAAGAGCAUGUGCGCAGAGGGAAAAGCACAUGCAGGCGCUGGGAGAAGACAGCCAUCAGUGAGGACAAAGGCUCCAGAAGAACCAAUCCUGCCCAACACUCUCCAGAACUGUGAGAAAAUAAAUUUUCCACUUUUUAAGCCACCCAGUCUGUGGUACUUUGUCAUAGUAGCUCCUGCUGACUAACUUACUGUUGAAGAGAGGUGAUAUUUUACCUUCCUGCAUCUAAAUCCUAAUCUAAAUCCUACACAUGCUCCUUUCCACAGGGGACUCCAUGACAUUCACAAUCGUUGACUCAAGUUUUCCUAAAAAAUCAGGUCAAGAGUCUUAUGUCUAUCUAAUUAGUGAAGAAAGCACAAUUCUAAACUACACUGAAUCCAGAUGGAAAGGAGGCAAAGGCAGAAGCUUCUUUUUUUGUUUUUUGAAACGGAGUCUCACUCUGUCGCCCAGGCUGGAAUGCAGCGGUGCAAUCUCGGCUCACUGCAAUCUCUGCCUCCUGGGUUCAAGGGAUUCCCCUGCCUCGGCCUCCUGAGUAGCUGGAACUACAGGUGCGCACCACUACGCCCGGCAAAUUUUUUGCAUUUUAGUAGAGAUGGGGUUUCACCAUGUUGGCCAGG
rnacentral:lncRNA from 1 species